UCAGUAACACGUAGUCAACCUAACCUAUGGACGUGGAUAACCUCGGGAAACCGAGAAUAAACCGCGAUAGAUCAUUAUGCCUGGAAUGGCUUAUGGUUCAAACAAUUUAUUGCCGUAGGAUGGGACUGCGGCCUAUCAGCUUGUUGGUGAGGUAAUGGCCCACCAAGGCUAUAACAGGUACGGGCUCUGAGAGGAGAAGCCCGGAGAUGGGUACUGAGACACGGACCCAGGCCCUAUGGGGCGCAGCAGGCGAGAAACCUUAGCAAUGUGCGAAAGCACGACUAGGUUAAUCCGAGUGAUUUCUGUUGAAGAAAUCUUUUGUCAGUCGUAAAACCACAGACGAAUAAGGGGUGGGCAAGU
rnacentral:rRNA from 1 species